rnacentral:rRNA from 1 species
UACGAAGGGGGCUAGCGUUGCUCGGAAUCACUGGGCGUAAAGCGCACGUAGGCGGAUUCUUAAGUCAGGGGUGAAAUCCCGGAGCUCAACUCCGGAACUGCCUCUGAUACUGAGGAUCUUGAGUUCGAGAGAGGUGAGUGGAACUGCGAGUGUAGAGGUGAAAUUCGUAGAUAUUCGCAAGAACACCAGUGGCGAAGGCGGCUCACUGGCUCGAUACUGACGCUGAGGUGCGAAAGCGUGGGGAGCAAACAGG